GAUGAACGCUGGCGGCGUGCCUAAUACAUGCAAGUCGAGCGAACAGACGAGGAGCUUGCUCCUCUGACGUUAGCGGCGGACGGGUGAGUAACACGUGGAUAACCUACCUAUAAGACUGGGAUAACUUCGGGAAACCGGAGCUAAUACCGGAUAAUAUAUUGAACCGCAUGGUUCAAUAGUGAAAGACGGUUUUGCUGUCACUUAUAGAUGGAUCCGCGCCGCAUUAGCUAGUUGGUAAGGUAACAGCUUACCAAGGCAACGAUGCGUAGCCGACCUGAGAGGGUGAUCGGCCACACUGGAACAGAGACACGGUCCAGCCUCCUACGGGAGGCAGCAGUAGGGAAUCUCCAGAAGUGGGCGAAAGCCUGACGGAGCAACGCCGAGUGAGUGAUGAAGGUCUUCGGAUCGUAAAACUUUGUUAUUAGGGAAGAACACAUGUGUAAGUAACUAUGCACGUAUUGACGGUACCUAAUAAGAAAGCCCCGGCUAAGUA
rnacentral:rRNA from 1 species